rnacentral:rRNA from 1 species
AGUGAACGCUGGCGGUAGGCCUAACACAUGCAAGUCGAACGGCAGCACAGUAAGAGCUUGCUCUUACGGGUGGCGAGUGGCGGACGGGUGAGGAAUACAUCGGAAUCUACUUUUUCGUGGGGGAUAACGUAGGGAAACUUACGCUAAUACCGCAUACGACCUACGGGUGAAAGCAGGGGAUCUUCGGACCUUGCGCGAUUGAAUGAGCCGAGGUCGGAUUAGCUAGUUGGCGGGGUAAAGGCCCACCAAGGCGACGAUCCGUAGCCGGUCUGAGAGGAUGAUCAGCCACCCUGGAAGUGAGACACGGUCCAGACUCCUGAGGGAGGCAGCAGUGGGAAAUAUUGGACAAUGGGCGCAAGCCUGAUCCAGCCAUACCGCGUGGGUGAAGAAGGCCUUCGGGUUGUAAAGCCCUUUUGUUGGGAAAGAAAAGCAGCAGGUUAAUACCCCGCUGUUCUGACGGUACCCAAAGAAUAAGCACCGGCUAACUUCGUG